rnacentral:rRNA from 1 species
AUACGUAGGGUGCGAGCGUUGUCCGGAAUUACUGGGCGUAAAGAGCUCGUAGGUGGUUUGUCGCGUCGUCUGUGAAAUUCCGGGGCUUAACUCCGGGCGUGCAGGCGAUACGGGCAUAACUUGAGUACUGUAGGGGAGACUGGAAUUCCUGGUGUAGCGGUGAAAUGCGCAGAUAUCAGGAGGAAAACAGGUGGCGAAGGCGGGUCUCUGGGCAGUAACGGACGCUGAGGAGCGAAAGCAUGGGUAGCGAACAGGAUUAGAUACCCUGGUAGUCCAUGCCGUAAACGGUGGGCGCUAGGUGUAGGGGUCUUCCACGACUUCUGUGCCGUAGCUAACGCAUUAAGCGCCCCGCCUGGGGAGUACGGCCGCAAGGCUAAAACUCAAAUGAAUUGACGGGG